UACGAAGGGGGCUAGCGUUGUUCGGAAUCACUGGGCGUAAAGGGUGCGCAGGCGGGUUGAUACGCGAGGGGUGAAAGCCCGAGGCUCAACCUCGGAACUGCCUUUGAUACUGUGGGUCUUGAGUCCGGAAGAGGUGAGUGGAACUGCGGGUGUAGAGGUGAAAUUCGUAGAUAUUCGCAAGAACACCGGUGGCGAAGGCGGCCCACUGGGCCGGAACUGACGCUGAGGCACGACAGCGUGGGGAGCAAACAGG
rnacentral:rRNA from 1 species